CCUCAAGUGGCACAAUGGGUCAGUACCACUGGCUGUUAACCAAAGGCUGGUGGUUCAAGCCCACCCAAGGA